UGGCGGGUGCGAACCCCGCCCAACACCUGUCGCUCCGGUUGGUAGCGGCCUUAGCGUAUUAUGGAGGUAACGAAAUGAUAUGAAGCACUGAGGUUUAACGGGCUACGCGAGUAGCUUAGCGACCAUGCGGGCCGGAACGUGU
rfam:Candidatus Synechococcus spongiarum 15L contig101, whole genome shotgun sequence.